rnacentral:rRNA from 1 species
AAAGCCCUAGCCUCAUUGAUGAUGCUCAUCUCUUGGGAGGUUUGGUCUGAGAGGAAUGCUAGAGUCUUUCGCAACGUGGCGGUUCCAUCGAUGGUCAUCAUCAACAAGAUCAAGCACGAGGCGUCGCUUUGGGCUUUGGCGGGUGCCAAGCACUUGAGUAUUGUAAUGCCGCGAAAGUAA